GGAGUUAGCCGGUGCUUCUUCUGCGAGUAACGUCACAGAUGUAAGGUAUUAACUUACACCCUUUCCUCCUCGCUGAAAGUGCUUUACAACCCGAAGGCCUUCUUCACACACGCGGCAUGGCUGCAUCAGGGUUUCCCCCAUUGUGCAAUAUUCCCCACUGCUGCCUCCCGUAGGAGUCUGGGCCGUGUCUCAGUCCCAGUGUGGCUGAUCAUCCUCUCAGACCAGCUAGGGAUCGUCGCCUAGGUGAGCCUUUACCUCACCUACUAGCUAAUCCCACCUGGGCUUAUCCAUCAGCGCAAGGCCCGAAGGUCCCCUGCUUUCCCCCGUAGGGCGUAUGCGGUAUUAGCAGUCGUUUCCAACUGUUAUCCCCCACAACUGGGCAAAUUCCCAGGCAUUACUCACCCGUCCGCCGCUCGUCAUCUUCAAAGCAAGCUUUGAAAUGUUACCGCUCGACUUGCAUGUGUUAGGCCUGCCGCCAGCGUUCAAUCUGAGCCAUGAUCAAACUCUGA
rnacentral:rRNA from 1 species